GAUGAACGCUGGCGGCGUGCCUAAUACAUGCAAGUCGAGCGAACGGACGAGAAGCUUGCUUUUCUGAUGUUAGCGGCGGACGGGUGAGUAACACGUGGAUAACCUACCUAUAAGACUGGGAUAACUUCGGGAAACCGGAGCUAAUACCGGAUAAUAUUUUGAACCGCAUGGUUCAAAAGUGAAAGACGGUCUUGCUGUCACUUAUAGAUGGAUCCGCGCUGCAUUAGCUAGUUGGUAAGGUAACGGCUUACCAAGGCAACGAUGCAUAGCCGACCUGAGAGGGUGAGCGGCAACAGUGAAACGGGACCCGGUCCAAGCCCCCGAGGGGAGGCAGCAGAGGGGAUCUUUCGGCAAUGGGCGAAGGCCGGACGGACAAACGCCGCGUGAUGAAUGAAGUUUUUGGUAUGUAAAACCUUUUUUAUGGGGGAAAAAAAUAUGUUAAAGUAACUUUGCACAUCUUGAGGUUACCUAACCAGAAAGCCAGGGCUAACUACGUC
rnacentral:rRNA from 1 species